rnacentral:rRNA from 1 species
AGCCUGAGAAAUAGCUACCACUUCUACGGAGGGCAGCAGGCGCGUAAAUUGCCCAAUGCCAAGAAAAAAUGAUGAGGCAGCGAAAAGAAAUAGGUUUCUCAGAUGCCUUACGGUAUUUGAGAUUUGCAAUGGGGGAUAUUUAAACCCAUCCAAUAUCGAGUAACAAUUGGAGGACAAGUCUGGUGCCAGCACCCGCGGUAAUUCCAGCUCCAAAAGCGUAUAUUAACGCUGUUGCUGUUAAAGGGUU